rnacentral:miRNA from 1 species
CGACAACAACAACAAGAAGAAGAG